GACGAACGCUGGCGGCGUGCUUAACACAUGCAAGUCGAACGGAAAGGCCCGGCGUUUGUUGGUUUCUCGAUUGGCGAGCGCGUGAGUAACACGUGAGUAACCUGCCCUUAACUGUGUGAUAACAUCACGGAACUGGGGCUAAUACCGCAUAUGAUCUCCUGCUGCAUAGGGGUGGUUGGAAAGUGUCGGCGGUGGUGGCUGGACUCGCGGCUUAUGAGCUUGUUGGUGGGGUAGUUGCUUACCAAGGCUGUGACGGGUAGCCGGCCUGAGAGGGGGAACGGGGACAUUGGGACUGCGGUACGGACCAGAAGCGUAUGGGAGGCAGCAGUGGAGAACCUUGCACAAUGGGGGGAAGUGAGAGGUGGCAGUCUUGGGUGCGGGAAGCUGGGUUUUGGGUUGUAAACAGAUUUCGAAUGUGCUGAAGAGUGCGUGACGGUACUGGGUCAAGAAGCCACGGCUAACUACGUG
rnacentral:rRNA from 1 species